UACGGGGGGGGCAAGCGUUGUUCGGAAUUACUGGGCGUAAAGGGCUCGUAGGCGGCCAACUAAGUCAGACGUGAAAUCCCUCGGCUUAACCGGGGAACUGCGUCUGAUACUGGUUGGCUUGAGUGCAGGAGAGGAACGCGGAAUUCCAGGUGUAGCGGUGAAAUGCGUAGAUAUCUGGAGGAACACCGGUGGCGAAGGCGGCGUUCUGGACUGCAACUGACACUGAGGAACGAAAGCCAGGGGAGCAAACGGG
rnacentral:rRNA from 1 species